CAGGAAAUCCCAUCCCUGGCGAUCCCUGUUAAGGGGUCUUUCUACCAUAUUGUCUCAGAGUCAUGAUGUCGCAGAGAUGGAUGAAGGGUCAGCGCUGCCUUGCUCCAGACAACGGAGCUGAGCGUGGCAGAAAGGUCGGGGGGAGGUAUUUCACCUGGUGAAGACAUCUCCUUAGCGGCUGAUGAUGUCGCCUGUCACUCGAGUUUCAAGAAGGCUGUAACCUACAGGCAAUGCGAUGCUGUGCUUAAAGCAGGACCUUCCCGAGCCCUACAUGUUCUGACUUUUGUAGUCGCCACCACACAAAACAUCAGGUACAUCAGCUGCAUCCGUAUCUCACAUUAAGUAUACUUAUUUUUUUUUUUGUUUUAAGAAUCUUCAUAGGGUUUUUAAUUUACGAUUGGCUAUGAGUUCCCAACAAUUACUGUGUACGCUAUGAAUAGGGGAAUUUGUGAAGUGGGAGAACUGACCCUGUAAGUUGCAUUCAAGGGAAUGAAAUCCUUAUGAAUGCUAAUGCUAAUUUAACAGUGAACGAAGCUGGCAUGUUGGUACAUUUUGUAGACAUUUAGUUAAACAUUUAUUAAUUUUUACAUUUAUUGUUUUCUUUUGUAGAUUUGGAACCAACAACUGUUUUUCUACCUGGGUGUCAUGCAUUUUUCUAGAUUCCCAAGAAGCUCUUACCUCUGGGAUUUCAUUGUACUGUCACCCUUGGGCCGAGGCUGCUGCUGCUCCUGUGGACUCUGGGAAAGGGCCUCCUCCACGAAUUCCCACUUGUUCCAUGGCCCACCCCUGACUCCCCAGCUCUCACAGUCUAGCUUAGACACCCUGACGAGGUGGAGGAUGUAA
rnacentral:lncRNA from 1 species